rnacentral:rRNA from 1 species
UACGUAGGGCGCAAGCGUUGUCCGGAAUUAUUGGGCGUAAAGAGCUCGUAGGCGGCUUGUCACGUCGGGUGUGAAAGCCCCGGGGCUUAACCCCGGGUCUGCAUUCGAUACGGGCAGGCGUAGAGUGUGGUAGGGGAGAUCGGAAUUCCUGGUGUAGCGGUGAAAUGCGCAGAUAUCAGGAGGAACACCGGUGGCGAAGGCGGAUCUCUGGGCCAUUACUGACGCUGAGGAGCGAAAGCGUGGGGAGCGAACAGG